rnacentral:rRNA from 1 species
UAUUGGUCAAUGGCCGGAAGGCUGAACCAGCCAAGUCGCGUGAGGGAAUAAGGCCCUACGGGUCGUAAACCUCUUUUGCCAGGGAGCAAUGCCGUCCACGUGUGGACGGAAGGAGAGUACCUGGAGAAAAAGCAUCGGCUAACUCCGUGCCAGCAGCCGCGGUAAUACGGAGGAUGCGAGCGUUAUCCGGAUUUAUUGGGUUUAAAGGGUGCGUAGGCGGCCUGCCAAGUCAGCGGUAAAAUUGCGGGGCUCAACCCCGUACAGCCGUUGAAACUGCCGGGCUCGAGUGGGCGAGAAGUAUGCGGAAUGCGUGGUGUAGCGGUGAAAUGCAUAGAUAUCACGCAGAACCCCGAUUGCGAAGGCAGCAUACCGGCGCCCGACUGACGCUGAGGCACGAAAGUGCGGGGAUCAAACAGGAUUAGAUACCCUGGUAGUCCGCACAGUAAACGAUGAAUGCUAGCUGUCCGGGGGGAUUGACCCCUGG